UUAAUCACUUAAUAAAUGUUCGUUUUGAAAUAAGUGUGUCCCUUCGUUUUUUUAUAAUUGUCUUUUCGUUUUCUUAAAAUGAGUUAUGAUAGUCUAGAUUUGUGUGUCUUUUAGUAUUCCUAAAAGUGCCUUUUAGUUUCUCUAUGAAAUUAAACAGUGCAUUAAUGUGUAGAGAAGAUGAAGAGUCAUUUGAGAGCCUAUAAAUAUGUAAUGAUUUUUAUAAUGAAAAAUAAGUCAAGUUGAGUUG
rnacentral:lncRNA from 1 species